AGGAGUUAGAAGCCGAAAGGGCUGCACACUGCCGAAGCAGGGGAGAGGUGGCCGAAUUGGCCGUUAAAUUGAAGGGUGCUGCCGACCGCAAUGAGGCUCUUGAAAAGGAGCGCCUAUCGGAGCGGGAAGACCUGGUUGUCACGCCCAAUAUGCGACCCUAUCCAAAAGGAACUCGAAGGUCCCACCAAGGAUAGACCCGCAUAUUGGAACGCUUUUGCAAGGUGGAUAUCAUUACAUCAACAUUACAUAAUAGAUGGGGAUACAUACAAAAGCAUACAAUGCCACAUGAAUACAACAUCACAUCAUACAUAAGAUAAGCAUCCGGCUACGGAUGAAACACAAAUAGAAACUCAAACGACAUCCACCCUGCUAGCCCAGGCUGCCGACCUGGAACCUAUCCCCUGAUCGAAGAAGAAGCAGAAGACGAACUCCAAAACAAGCAAACAUCGCUCUCGCGUUAUGAUCAUCGCAUAACCUGUACCUGCAACUGUUGUUGUAGUAAUCUAUGAGCCACGAGGACUCAGCAAUCCCAUUACCAUGGGUAUCAAGACUAGCAAAGCUUAAUGGGAAAGGAAGGGGUAAAGUGGUGAGGUUGCAGCAGCGACUAAGCAUGAUAUGGUGGCUAACAUACGCAAAUAAGAGCAAGAAGAGAGCAAAUGGAACGGUCGUGAAGCUAGUAAUGAUCAAGAAGUGAUCCUGAACACCUACUUACGUCAAACAUAACCCAGAAACCGUGUUCACUUCCCGGACUUCGCCGAGAAGAGACCAUCACGGCUACACACACGGUUGAUGCAUUUUAAUUCGGAUCUGGUGUCAAGUUAUCUACAACCGGACAUUAACAAAUUCCCAUCUGCCACAUAACCGCGGGCACGGAUCUCGAAAGUUUAUACCCUGCAGGGGUGUCCCAACUUAGCCCAUGAUAAGCUCUCGCGAUCAACGAAGGAUAUUCCUUCUCCCAGGAAGACCCGAUCAGUCUCGGAAUCCCGGUUUACAAGACAUUUCGACAAUGGUAAAACAAGACCAGCAAAGCCGCCCGAUGCACCGACAAAUCCCGAUAGGAGCUGCACAUAUCUCGUUCUCAGGGCACACCGGAUGAGCCAGACGUCGGGUUGGCAUAGACCCUGGUUGCCCAGGGGGCGCCGGACAUCGCUCCGUUUGGACCAACACUUAGACAAGCAUUGGCCCGGGGGGGGGGAUAAAAUAAAGAUGACCCUCGGGUUGGCCAACCCAAGGGAAAGGUAUAGGUGGUGGUGAGGCAAAUGGUAAAACCAAGGUUGGGCCUUGCUGGACAAGUUUUAUUCAAAGCGAACUGUCAGGGGGGUCCCAUAAAUCACCCGACCGCGUAAGGAACGCAAAAUCCGGGAACAUAACACCGGUAUGACGGAAACUAGAGCGGCAAGAGUGGAACAAAACACCAGGCAUAAGGCCGAGCCUUCCACCCUUUACCAAGUAUAUAGAUGCAUUAAUAAUAUAAGAGAUAUUUUGAUAUCCCAACCAAAAUCCUGUCCACCAUGGAGAAAUCUUCAACUUCGCCUGCAGCUAGCAACGCUAUAAGAGGGGCUGAGCAAAGCGGUAACAUAGCCAAACAACGGUUUGCUAGGACGGGUGUCAAAGGUUAGAGGUUCAUGGCAAUUUGGGAGGCUUGAUGAGCAAAAGAUAGGUAACAUAGCAUAGCGAUAGAACGAAGCAACUAGCAUAGCAAUGAUAGUAGUGAGAUCCAGGGUAGCGAUCAUCUUGCCUGAAAUCCCGCAAGGAAGAAGAACGAGUCCAUGAAGAAGAUGAAGCCACGAAGACGAACCACACGUAGGCGAACGCAUACUCACGAUCGCAACGAAACGGGAACUAUCGAGAAGAAGCACACAACAUAGUAAACACACCACACAUGAACAAGACAUGAUGCACAACAAGCAUGAUGCAUGAGAAAGCUAGACGAGGCUACUCAUGGCAAGAGAUGAUGCAAACAAGAACAACACAUCAAGGCAAGUUUAAAUGAGGCCGGAAACAACAUAUAACAAUUCCGGUAAGUCCUCAUAUACAAAUUUCGAAAUUGGUCCAGAUCUGAACAAACAUUAAGUUGAAGUUGUUAAACAGCAAGUUAAAGAGCACCAAGAGGAUCUACACGAAAUUCUAGUCAAGUUACAUAUAAAGUUCAUUAGAUUCGGAGCUACGGCCUAGAAGAUAUGAGCAAAACAAGUUAAGCAUGGCAUUGAUGCAAAAUGCAUACAAACAUCAAGCAAACACCUCAAAACAAGGAUGCAACAUGAUAAUAUGAAACUACAUGCAAAAACAAGCAAGUUUCGUAUAGAGCACACUCAAAACGGAGCAACGGUGCAACACAUAAGCACUAUACAAGGCAUAACAACAAUCUAUCCAUAACAGCAACUAGGCAUCUUACAAGCAUCAAAACAACAUGCUACAGCAACCCAACAUAAUAACAAAAGGCAUGGGCAUGAAGUACAGGUAAAGCAUAACAAAACAUGAACACUGAGCUAUCUCCAGAAACAACUAGAACAUGCUCAAAAAGACAUGGAAAGAUUGCAAAUAAUAACAGUUUCAGGCUUUAGCAGAAAUAACAUCAGGUUGCAAUGUUUAGAGCUAUCAAACAACAUUUUACAGGAACUUAACAUGGAAAACAAAGGCAUGGCAUGAAUCUACUAAUUGCAUAGAACAAAAGACCCUUACUGAUCAUGAGCCAAAAAGGCACAGAAAAUAUGAUGGCACCCAUGUAAACAUGGCAAGUUAUAUUACAAAUUCAAACAUGGCAGGAACAACAAUAAGUGGGCAUGUUGGUGAGCUUGAAUCACUCACCACAGAGCAAUACAUGGCAUGGAAAGGCAACCAAAAGUAAGAAGGCAUGUUUGUGAAGCUAAGCAUGGCAAGAACAAGUUCAUAGGGUACAUGGAACACUAGCAAAACACAUGGAAACUAGUGAACUUAACGUUAACAGGCUGAUAGCAACAAUAUCAAGAAACUUUGGAGCAAGAUAUGAACAAUCUACAGCAAGAUAUAAAUGCAACCAUGGGCAUGGAUGGAUAGGGCAUAACAUGUAUAUCAAAACAUGUUUAUAGAACAUCUCUAGAUUAUGCAUAGAAUGAUUAGUAGAAGCAUGUUAACAUGGCAACAAAAUAUAACAGAAUCUGCCUAGCUAAACAGCAACAGCGAGUACCCUAUUUAACAAGCUCGAUGCACUCAGCACACAACUCACAAAAAUACAUGGAUGACACCCCUGGAAAGAUGACAUAUCAUAUAUCAAAACACAUGUAGACAUCAACCUCAUAGGAUGCACACAUCAAUCAUGGCAAAAAUGACAAAUGAGCAAGUUAUAAUAGUUUCAGCAGAUUAACAUCAACAUGAACUCUUCCAACAGCAUUUCGGGCAUCAAGAUGAGCUCAAAUGAAAAUGACGCAAUGGAAUGAAAUGAUGUACUCGUUGAGACGAAUAAUUCGACAUAUUACACGCACGAAACGGAGCUAUGAAUGCAGAGAUACAAUACGAUGAAUAUGGCAUGAUAAUGUCACAGAUUCGGGAACUUGGGCGUUUUCAGAGGGGGAAAAGUCAACCUGCGGUGCACGGAUUUCGAGGACAAAUGGAGAGCGGCCGGAGUCGGGGAGGGAGAUGGCCGGGGAGCUCGGGGUCGCCGGAUCCGGGCGGAGCCAUGGCGGGGCGGCGGCGCCGGCUGGCCUCGGGGAGGCGCUCGGGCGGCGCGGAGCGCNNNNNNNNNNNNNNNNNNNNNNNNNNNNNNNNNNNNNNNNNNNNNNNNNNNNNNNNNNNNNNNNNNNNNNNNNNNNNNNNNNNNNNNNNNNNNNNNNNNNNNNNNNNNNNNNNNNNNNNNNNNNNNNNNNNNNNNNNNNNNNNNNNNNNNNNNNNNNNNNNNNNNNNNNNNNNNNNNNNNNNNNNNNNNNNNNNNNNNNNNNNNNNNNNNNNNNNNNNNNNNNNNNNNNNNNNNNNNNNNNNNNNNNNNNNNNNNNNNNNNNNNNNNNNNNNNNNNNNNNNNNNNNNNNNNNNNNNNNNNNNNNNNNNNNNNNNNNNNNNNNNNNNNNNNNNNNNNNNNNNNNNNNNNNNNNNNNNNNNNNNNNNNNNNNNNNNNNNNNNNNNNNNNNNNNNNNNNNNNNNNNNNNNNNNNNNNNNNNNNNNNNNNNNNNNNNNNNNNNNNNNNNNNNNNNNNNNNNNNNNNNNNNNNNCGGGCCUGGCGGGCCGGCGGCAUGGGGCGGCGGAGAGGACACGUGUCGCGCAGCGGUUGGACGCGGGCGGCGGCGGGUUUCGUCUGGCGGCGGGCGGACAUGUCCGGCGGGCGAGAGGGAGGUUGAUCUAGGGUUUGGACUGCGGAAAUUUCGGGGGAGGCCACAUAUUUAUAGGUUGAGGGAGCUAGAAGAGUCCAAAUGAGGAGCGAUUUUCGGCCACGCGAUCGUGAUCGAUCGACCGAGAGCAUGGAGGGGAGUUGUAUGGGUUUUGGGCCACUUUGAACGUCAUAGGAUGCACACAUCAAAACACAUGUAGACAUCAACGUCAUAGGAUGCACACAUCAAUCAUGGCAAAAAUGACAAAUGAGCAAGUUAUAACAGUUUCAGCAGAUUAACAUCAACAUGCACUCUUCCAACAGCAUUUCGGGCAUCAAGAUGAGCUCAAAUGAAAAUGAUGCAAUAGAAUAAAAUGAUGUACUCAUUGAGACGAACAAUUCGACAUAUUACACGCAUGAAACAGAGCUACGGAUACAGAGAUACAAUGCGAUGAAUUUGGCAUGAUAAUGUCACAAAUUCGGGGACUUGGGCAUUUUCAGAGGGGGAAAAGUCAACCUGCGGUGCACGGAUUUUGAGGACGACCGGAGAGCGGCCGGAGUCGGGGAGGGAGAUGGCCGGGGAGCUCGGAUUCGCCGAAUCCGGGCGGAGCCGUGGCAGGGCGGCGGCGCAGGGCACUGGCGCGGCGCCGGCUGGCGUCGGGGAGGCGCUCGGGCGGCNNNNNNNNNNNNNNNNNNNNNNNNNNNNNNNNNNNNNNNNNNNNNNNNNNNNNNNNNNNNNNNNNNNNNNNNNNNNNNNNNNNNNNNNNNNNNNNNNNNNNNNNNNNNNNNNNNNNNNNNNNNNNNNNNNNNNNNNNNNNNNNNNNNNNNNNNNNNNNNNNNNNNNNNNNNNNNNNNNNNNNNNNNNNNNNNNNNNNNNNNNNNNNNNNNNNNNNNNNNNNNNNNNNNNNNNNNNNNNNNNNNNNNNNNNNNNNNNNNNNNNNNNNNNNNNNNNNNNNNNNNNNNNNNNNNNNNNNNNNNNNNNNNNNNNNNNNNNNNNNNNNNNNNNNNNNNNNNNNNNNNNNNNNNNNNNNNNNNNNNNNNNNNNNNNNNNNNNNNNNNNNNNNNNNNNNNNNNNNNNNNNNNNNNNNNNNNNNNNNNNNNNNNNNNNNNNNNNNNNNNNNNNNNNNNNNNNNNNNNNNNNNNNNNNNNNNNNNNNNNNNNNNNNNNNNNNNNNNNNNNNNNNNNNNNNNNGCCGGCGGCGCGGGGCGGCGGAGCGGACACGUGUCGCGCAGCGGUUGGACGCGGGCGGCGGCGGGCGGACAUGUCCGGCGGGCGAGAGGGAGGUUGAUCUAGGGUUUGGACUGCGGAAAUUUCGGGGGAGGCCACAUAUUUAUAGGUAGAGGGAGCUAGGAGAGUCCAAAUGAGGAGCAGUUUUCGGCCACGCGAUCGUGAUCGAAUGACCGAGAGCAUGGAGGGGAGUUGGAUGGGUUUUGGGCCACUUUGAAAGGGUGUUGGGCUGCAAAGAGAAGGAGGCUUUUGCGGUUACCCGGUUAACCGUUGGAGUACCAAACGACCUCCAAAUGGCACGAAACUUGACAGGCGGUCUACCGGUGCUAUACCAAGGCCGCUUGGCAAACCUCGGGCCAUUCCGAGAAAGUUUAACACCUGCACAAGAGAAGAGGCAAAAGGGGACGCCGGAUGACAUAGGAGUGCCGGAUUGCAAAAUGGACAACGGGGAAAAAGCUCGGAUGCAUGAGACGAACAUGUAUGCAAAAUGAAAUGCACAUGAUGACAUGAUAUGAAAUGCAUAUGAUGACAUGGAAAAGUGCAACACGCAAGCAAAUGACAAGGCAAAGACGGCGAAUAACUGGCGGACACCUGGCGCAUCGAAUCCGGGGCGUUACACUGGUGAAGGCCACCGCCGAAGCCAAGGAUGCCCGUUCUGCAAUGCGGGCUAUGAAGGAGGAGCUGCGCCAGGCCGGAGACAUUGUGGCUGGCAAGCCUUUUCUGCUACGCCGCAGGUUUAUGGAUCCAAAGUAUGUCUAGCUUGGCCAGCUGUGGGGUCCGUAGGAUCCAUAUAUGGACUUAGCGGCGAGUGCGGCAGAUGCCGUUGUGCACUUCCGAAGCCAGAAGUAUCACAAGACGGAAGAGCUAUUUUGGUCUCAAUUCCAUAGUACGGAUCGUUCACUUCCGCUGACCGAUAGGUUGGCCGAAUGGGCUGAGCUGAACAGGCUAUCCGGACUUGCCAUGACGGAUAUCGUGGCGCAUGUCUGGCCAGAGAGGCCCAAUGCGACAAGCUAUUUUGGCAAUUGCAGCAAUUUCUUGGGGCGGUGCUGCAUAUCAAGGAGAUGAAGCGGUCGGCCUGCAUAGAGGGUGCGCGGAUGGCCCUUGCCCGUGUGAAGACACAUUGGACAGAGAUGGAUGCGGCCGCUGUAGCAACCCAGGGUUCAGACGAAAGCCAGUUACCCGCCGAGCACUAUUUUGGGGAAGUUAUGCAUGGUGCUUGUGUAAUAGAGUCGCAGUGCUCAAAAAAUGUCACGUUCAAAUGAACGUUUUUUAUUUUGUAAAACAAUGAUUAUGAUGUAAUUGCUUUUUAUACUUGUGCGUUCCAAGUAUUGAAAUAUCUCCUAUGCGGGCGUUUAUGUAUACAUGUGUAUAACCUAAAAGAUGGCAGUCUUCGGCUUCAGCCCCCACGCACAAGGUGCGGGGGUGUUCGCAAAAAUAGCACAUUUUCACACUUAAUCCGACAUCUCGGUCCUGUGGAGGAGGUGGUAGCGUAGCAAACGAGGCAAUCCGGACUAUGAUGCUUUAUCACUUUCACUUGGCCAUUGGAGUUCGAGGGUGGGGCUACGAUAUAGCCCCUGGGGGCACCGCGCUCUCCGAAUUCGGGGCAUGUAUGUGCCUGACAGGGAAACGGUCCUUCGUCAAAGCAGAGGAAUUCUAAACAUUCCGGUAGUCGAUCGAGUGGUUGACCAGUCUCUCGCUGUAUCAUGACAGUCAGUUUUCGGCUUUCUCUACUGAGGUGCUUCGCCCAGCCGAACUGGGGCACAAUCGCAGUAGUUCUCCUGGUGCCGCGUUAGCUGAUGUACGGAACGUAAGGCAGCAAAACAUAGGAGCCGAUGCCAAAACGUCAGGCUCCACUCUGGUUAUAAUGAGAAACCAGGGGAUUAUAGCAACAAGAGACAGUAAAAAAGGUUUACGCAGGGUCUUAAUCUGAAAAGAAUCCUUGCAACGGGUCCCUACUGCACGUCUGCGCCUGUGUCUCCGUUGUGCCGUUAUCCUGGACCGGUGUGCACGUUGUUCAUCUGUAAAAAGAGAGGAACUUAGUUUGAAAGGAAAUCGUGCGAAAAAAGGUAUAUAUGAAAAAUAUUAAUAAGUAAAGCAGAAUCUAUAUUAGCUCGUUAUUGCUUAUACGCUUAGCCCCUUGUAGAGGGGCGUGCGGCUAGGGAGCCCCUAGCUUAUUUGAGCCGGACUCGUCUAGCCGUGUCCGGGGUCUUUUCAUGACCCUCGCAAUGAAAUGAUGCCCCGUGGACCGGGCAUUUUAAGUGUAAGAGACGCGUAAUGUGGUAUGGCGUUGAAGCGGACGAAAGCUUCACGUCCCAAUAGUGCUUGAUAGCCACUUUUGAAUGGGGCGACAUGAAAGAUUAGUUUUUCGCGUUGGAAGUUGUUCGGUAACCCGAGCACAACUUCUAGUAAUAAGGAGCCCGUGCACUUGGCGUAAGGGCCUGGCGUGACUCCUUUAAAGGAGGUGCGGCUAUGCCGAAUUUUAGUAAGGUCUAUCCCCAUCUUGCGGAUUGUGUUUGGAUAUAGCAGGUUUAAAUCGCUGCCUCCGUCCAUUAGGACUUGUGUAAAUUGUAGUCCGUCGAUUAUGGGAUCCAAUAUCAGAGCAGUCCAGCCUGCAUUCCGAAUACUUCUGGAGUAAUCCAGGUUGUCGAAAGUGAUUGGUUUUGACAUCCAAUCUCGAGGUUCCGCUAGGGUGGACCGUGCGGGACCCAUCUUAGCGGGUGCCGCAUUGUUUUUCCGUAUCAUCACAUGAAGUGAGUUUACUGCUUUGACUUCUUGUGGGAAAGUCUUUUGUUUUCCGAUGCUAUGCUUGUGGGGUUUGUCAUCAUCCUCGCUUGAUGCGUCGAGCCCCUUGUGUUCGGCAUUUAGUCGGCCGGACUGUUUGAAAACCCAACAAUCUCGGUGGGUGUGGUUUGCAGGCCUUCCGGGGGUACUGUGGAUUUGACAUAUCCGACCCAAAAUUUUGCUUAAGUUGGAUAGCUCAUCACUGUUAUCCUUAAGAGGUAGUGUUUUGUUGUUUGGCCGCGAGCUUUUGAAUCCGGCGUUGACCGCCGUAUUCUUUGGGCUUUUUUCCUUAUUCCGGCGCUGAUCCUUUCUGCGCCGUGAUUUUCCAUUUCCAUCUCUAAUCUCGGACGUACUCGGGUCGCUGGUGCUGCACCUUGCUAGCCAGCUGUCUUCUCCCGCGCAAAAGCGGGUCAUGAGGCUUGUUAGCACGGACAUUAUCCUCGGCUUCUCUUGGCCGAGGUGUCUGGCAAGCCAUUCAUCUCGGACGUUGUGUUUAAAAGCUGCUAGGGCUUCGGCGUCCGGACAGUCGACUAUUUGGUUCUUUUUAGUAAGGAACCUGUUCCAGAAUUUGCGCGCUGACUCUCUGGGCUGUUGAGUUAUAUGACUUAGAUCAUCUGCAUCCGGAGGGCGGACAUAAGUCCCUUGAAAAUUUGCUCUAAACGCGUCCUCAAGCUCUUUCCAACUUCCAACAGUGUUUUCUGGGAGGCUUUUGAGCCAAUGACGGGCUGGCCCUUUGAGCUUGAGGGGUAAAUAUUUUAUGGUGUGGAGAUCAUCUCCUCUAGCCAUGUGUAUGUGUAGUAUAUAAUCCUCUAUCCAGACUCCAGGGUCUGUUGUUCCGUCGUAAGCCUCUAUGUUUAUGGGUUUAAACCCUGCUGGGAAUUCAUGAUCCAACACCUCAUUGGUGAAACAUAGUGGGUGUGCGGCGCCCCUGUAUUUGGGUGUGCCGUUGUCGUCGAACACUUGACGUGUUGUGCUCUUUCCUGGGGCCCUCUUUUUUGGCCCGUAAAUGGACCUGGCUGGGCCAUCCGUUUUCCCGGGGUCAUGAAUCGGCUUAUGUGUGGCGCCGCUUGUAGACUUGGGCCUAUCAUCUGGCCGUCUAUCCGGCCAGGCGGCCUCUUUGUUUUUUGACUGUGGGGGCUCUAUGGCUUCCUCUUCAAAUUCUGGUAGCAGCUUGUGCUUCGGAUAGCUCUUUGAUUGAUGGCCAUUGCCGUAUUUGUCUGCGGUUUCGAGCACUUUGCUCCACCUCUUUCUGAGUAUGUCUUCCGCUGUUUUGAGCUUCCGUUUUUCCUUCUUCAGGCUUCUUGCGGUGGCGACGAGUCUUCCGUGAAGGUUUUUGUGUUCCGGUAGUAUGUCCGGUGUGAGGUCGUCCGGACUGUUGGUUUCGCCGGGAUUGGAUUGAUUAUCUAGUCCGCCCUGUUCGGACGGCUGCUUGGUUGCAUGUUCGUCGUCCACUGGUUUGCCUUGCUCUAACGCUGGGUCAUUAGGAGUGCUGUCUUUGUCGAGGCGGGGCUUAGGGCGGCGCUUGCGUCGCCGCUUUGGUUGUUUAUCGGCGGGAUUAUCCUUGGCUGCACCCCGUUGGUCCUCGUCGUCGCUUCCUUUUGGGGUAUCCACCAUAUAUACGUCAUGUGUCGAGGUGGUCUUCCAGUGCCUUGUAGGCGCUGGUUCUUGAUCAUCUCCGGCAUCGGCGUCCAUACCGUCGAUGUAUUCGGAGUCGUAGUCUAGCAUGUCUGCUAGAUCGUUGACAGUGGCUACAAAGUGGGUGGUGGGAGGGCUCUGAAUUUCUUCGUCGUCCGUGUCCCAACCAUCCUGGCCAUAGUCCGGCCAGGUCUCUCCGGAUAGCGAGAGAUGCUUUAGCGAAUGUAGGAUGUCGCCAAAAGGCGAGUGCUGAAAGAUGUCCGCCGUGGUGAACUCCAUGGUCGGCGCCCAAUCGGAUUCGAUUGGCAGAGGCGCCGGAGGUUCGGAGUCCAGCAGGGAGUCCGGCACCUCGGAGUCACGAGCUUUAUGGGGGACAAGGUCAGAGUUCGGCUCCAUCGCCGCGGAAGUUGCAGCCCCCGAGGCGGUGUCCAGCCACCGGUCCUCGAUCUGGGCGAUCGGCUCCGGACUGAAGGUUGGAGCGGAUUCGUGUGCGGCCACCAAGGCACUAUCCGGCGGCAGAGCUAAAUCAUGCCCAUCGUGACAGCGCGGCACGCUCGGCUGUGGCUCGAGUCCGUCGAAGAUCAAGUCCCCGCGGAUGUCGGCCGGGAAGUUUAGGCUUCCGAACCUGACCUGAUGGCCAGGGGCGUAGCUUUCGAUCUGCUCCAGAUGGCCAAGUGAGUUGGCCCGCAGUGCGAAGCCGCCGAAUACGAAGAUCUGUCCGGGGAGAAAAGUCUCGCCCUGAACGGUGUUGUUGGUUGAAGAAGCUAUCGAGCCUAUCGGUGACGACACAGAGGAACUCUCAAUGAAAGCACCAAUGUUGGUGUCAAAACCGACGGAUCUCAGGUAGGGGGUCCCGAACUGUUAGUCUAGGCGGAUGGUAACAGGAGACAAGGGAUACGAUGUUUUACCCAGGUUCGGGCCCUCUUGAUGGAGGUAAAACCCUACGUCCUGCUUGAUUAAUAUUGAUGAUAUGGGUAGUACAAGAGUAGAUCUACCACGAGAUCAAGGAGGCUAAACCCUAGAAGCUAGCCUAUGGUAUGAAUGUUGUAAUGGAGGUUAUGUCCUAAGGACUAAAGCCCUCCGGUUUAUAUAGACACCGGAGAGGGCUAGGGUUACACAGAGUCGGUUACAAUGGUAGGAGAUCUACAUAUCCGUAUUGCCAAGCUUGCCUUCCACGCUAAGGAAAGUCCCAUCCGGACACGGGACGGAGUCUUCAAUCUUGUAUCUUCGUAGUCUUGGAGUCCGGCGGACGAUGAUAGUCCGGCUAUCCAGACACCCCCUAGUCCAGGACUCCCUCAUCCGGUUGUAGAUAACUUGACACCUGAUUCGAAUUAAAAUGCAUCAACUGCGUGUGUAGCCGUGAUGGUCUGUUCUCGGCGGAGUCCGGGAAGUGAACACGGUUUUGGGUUAUGUUUGACGUAAGUAGGAGUUCAGGAUCACCUCUUGAUCAUUGCUAGCUUCAUGACCGUUCCGUUUGCUUCUCUUCUCGCUCUUAUUUGCGUAUGUUAGCCACCAUACUUGCUUAGCCGCUGCUGCAACCUCACCACUUUACCCCUUCCUUACCCAUUAAGCUUUGCUAGUCUUGAUACCCAUGGUAAUGGGAUUGCUGAGUCCUUGUGGCUCACAGAUUACUACAACAAUAGUUGCAGGUGCAGGUUAUGUGAUGAUCAUGACGCGAGAGCUAUGCUUGCUUGUUUUGGAGUUCUUCUUCUGCUUCUUCUUUGAUCAGGGGAUAGGUUCCAGGUCGGCAGCCUGGGCUAGUAGGGUGGAUGUCGUUUGAGUUUCUGUUUGUGUUUCAUCCGUAGUCGGAUGUUGCUCUUAUGUAUGAUGUUGUUGUAUUCGUGUGGCAUUGUAUGCCUCUUGUAUGUAUCCCCAACUAUUAUGUAAUGGUACGAUGUAACGAUAUCCACCUUGCAAAAGCGUCUCCAAUAUGCGCUUCUAUCCUUGGUAGGACCUUUGAGUUCCUUUAGGAUAGGGUCGCAUAUUGGGCGUGACAAGUUGGUAUCAGAGCCACGACCGACCAUAGGAGCCCCCGUGAUUGUUGGCCGUUGUUGAGUCUAGAACAAAAAGUUUUGAGUCUUAGGAUUAUAUAUAUCGGAGAGUAGGAUUCUUUUUACUCCUCAGUCCCUUCGUCGCUCUGGUGAGGUCUCCUGACGUAGAUGUUUUGUCUUUCCUCUCCUCAAAUUUCACGAAUUUUUUUUAGGAUCACCCGGGUAUCUUGGGAUCGUUCCGAUAUUCUUGUGACAAGAACAUUGUUCUUGGUGCCUCCUGACAUUUAGGGGUUGUGGCAGUGUCCCAGGGAGUUGAGCUCCGAGGUGUUGUCGUCACAAUUUUAUCGUUAUAGUUCUGGAAUACCUGAGUUUUGCCGACAUCGAAAAUCUCUUUUAUGCAGUUGUUGGUGAGAUAACCUCGACGCCACCCAGUACUGGGGAGUUCGGGAGUAUUGCCAUAACUCGUAUAAUGGAUGCUUUUCGAAGGUUGAGGUACACGAUAUCCGAAGGUUUCUUGGUUAUGUGUUGACGGAUGGAUACAGUUGGAUGUAGGGAUUGUUAGUUUGGGUGAGAUAUAUUGCUUCCCCUGUAUCCCCAACACCAGAUUGCAUAACCAGAAAGUUUCGGGAGUUUAUAGGUGGGAAUUGAAGUAGCUCCUAGAAUAUCUUUCCGACAGAUGCAUGAUAUGAGAUUGGGGUUCGACGUCUAGUGGUCCGCCUAUCCACGGUCGUUUUUACAGUGGUCUCGCUGUGUCUUAAAGAGCCCCUGGCUAUGCUGGUUUGGGGACACUUCGUAUGUCAUGUGCACUGCCUUGUACAUGAUGGUGCUGUAUGAUCGAGCCCGUGUGGGCCCCGCCACGAAAACUUCGGACGAAAUCUCUAUUAUAUGUUUGUUCCGGCUUAUUCUGCAAGCCAAAUCCUUUGUUUUGUUUUAUUUGUGGUAUUCGAGUUGCUUCAAUGUCAAGUGUUGAUUCCAUACCUUUUCUAAACGGUGUUCUCAUAUUUCUAUGGGAGUACUAAUCCUUCUUGAUCACUAAGGUUGUCAUGUCAAAUCUUUUCCAACCGGUGUUUUUCUCUUCAAGUGGAUCCGAUCAUUUUCAACAUCCGCAAGAUCAACUCUAAGUUUUCUCAGCGGUGUUUGUUUCAUCCGUCCCCAAGUUGCCUUUGUUUUCCCGCCCUCCCACCCUUUUUCUUCAAGGACUCAGAUUUCUUAAUCAUGUAUCCUUUUAUUUGUGGGAAGUCUCUUCAUUCUUUUCUUUCAAUGUUCUUAUCCGGUGAUUUCCCAUGAAGAUGCUCAACAGUUUCAAGUUCAUCAUCCUUCAUUGUCGUUUCUUCUCCGGUGGAUCCAAUUCAAGCUUUCGAUAUUCAUCAUAUUCUUUUCCUCGUUUCUAAUGCUUUCUCAUGCCGAUGCACCUCUUAAUCAUUCACUUCUUCCUAUUCAUUUGUUCUGGAGUGCUGAAGAUAUCUCACAAGACUUGUGUUUCCAUUCUCAAUUCGUUCAAGAUAUUUCGAGGUUGUUAUCUCAUUCAAGCCAUUUAAUUUAACCGGUGCAACCUCUCUUUAAAAUUGUUCAACGGUGUUUUAUUUUGAGUGGGCCCUACCCACAUGUCUUUUCCUAGUAUCUUACCUGACUGUUCUAAUUUUCCCGGAGCCAUUCCCAAAUUCUUUUUGAAGUUUGACGUAAGAAUGAAUUUCAUCAGUCAGAUGUUUUCCAAGAUCGAUUCCAAAUUAUUUUUCAGUGUUGGCUCAACCUCUUUGUUUUUCAUUCUCCCGGAGUAUCUCAACAAAUUAUGGUGGUGUUUCUCGUCGUCAUUUCUCGGAUUUUGAAGACCGAAGAAGAGUUCCUCUUAAAUCCUUACCUGUUCUUCCAAAGAUGCGUAGUUCAAGCUUGAUGCCAUCCUCUCGUACUUGUUUUCAAUUGUGAGAAUUCUUUUCACCCAUCCAGAGCAUUUCAUGAGUUGUUUCCAUUUCUUACCUCCGAAGGCCAUCAUGUCAUAAUUCUUUAUCCUCAACUUGUAGGUAUCGUUCUCCAAAUCUUACCGGUGCAUCGUUCAAAUACCCUCUAAUCAGUUCAUGAUCUCUUUGUUAUCAGGUAUCUAAAUCCCCUCAAGUAUCUUCAUUUGUUUUCCAAUUCUUCCCGGUGAAUUGUGCCUUUGCUACUUUCAUUUUCAAUUCUUACGGUGGUUCGUUCAAGAUUCCUCUUCCUUUGCUACCGUAUCAUUUCAUUCGUUGUUUUCAAAUCCUACCAGUGGAUCGUUGAAGACUUUUCUCAAGUUUGUGCUAUAUCUAUCUUAAUACUUUCAACGAGAAUAAGUAGUAUGCCAAAUCCAUUGCUUGUCAUCAAUUUAAUUUGAUGAAGGAUAAGCAUACAAUAAAUCUUAUUCUUAUUUCCUCGAGGUGAUUGAAUUCUUUUCUUCCAGAGAUUGUUCAUGAUGAAGUAAUUCUCGGUUCUAGUGUUUCAUCUAUUCUUUUUCCAGAGUUCCAAGUUUUCUGCAUUAUCUCGUCGCGAAGCUCCAUCUAAAUCAUUGCAAGGCUUCACCUUGUGUUUUCAACUUCUCUUUCUUUUUAUCAUCCUUUUAUUACCGGAGUUCUUCAUGGAGGCUCUACAUGAUGGUUCGUCAAUGAUUCUUUUCAUUCUUCAAUUGUUCUUUAAGAUUUCUCUUGAAGUUAUGACCCGCCAAGCUAUACUCUAAAAUAAACAUGGCGUUCAAAACACGUUUUGUUUUGAGGAGCUCAAGUAUUCUUCUUCUUGCAUUCCAAAGUGCAAUUCUUUCUACCUUAUCUCUUGAGAUGGUGUUAUGUCACUCUUGGCAAUUUCUCCUCGUGUUUCAUGAUUCACAUGUUGUCAGGAAUGAGAUAUUUAAAUCCAUCAUUUUCUCUUUGUUCAAGAGAUCUUUUCGACCAAUCAACUUCUUCGUUGGAGUUAUCUUGUGUCAGAUUUCACCUAAAGCCUUUCCUUAAGGGUUGUUGCUAUUUGUGGUGACUAUGCAUGACCCAAGCUUGCUCUUUAUCCUCUUGGUGGAAGAAGUUUUCAUCUCUUCGUUGAUCUCAAAGCAAGCAAUUGUUUUCGUUAGUGGCAGAAUGUCACCUCAUAGUCUUGAGAUGUUUUCCAUAAGCCCACUACAAGCUUAUUCGUUUCGUUGUUGGUUUUCCAACAACUCCGUUAUAACCUUCUUGGAAGGGUGCUGUCCAAGAUCAUUUGUGGCAGAAGUUGGCAUUUUCUACUCCAUUCUGUUAUUCCAAUGAUCUAUCUUCUAUUCUUUCUUCCGGAGGCAUUGUGAUGUUGCUCUUUUCUCUCAUCAUAUCGAAUUGUGAGGAUCAUGUUCUUUUUCGUGCUUAUCCAUUUAACCGGAGUGUUGUGUCAUCUCUUCAAGUUCUUUUCAUCUUAUCAAGCAUUGCAUCUCUUUUCAACCGAAGUGCUGUCCGAAUUUGAUCUUCCUUGUUCCUUGUUUAUCUCGUGUCAACCAGAGUGGUUUCAAUUCCUUCUUGUCCAUUGUACUCGUCAUUCAUAGCUUUGCAACCUCCAACCUUAACAUGGAGUUCCUUGUUUAUUUUUUUCUACUGGAAUGCUCUCAAUUUCUUUCAACUCUAUUGUGCUAUUCUUUCAAGUUUUCAACCUCUCAAGGUUCAUUGGUUUCACUCGUUCGUCAAAGAAGCAACUUAGUUUUACCUCUUAUCUUCCUGUUUCUUUUCCCUCCGAUGCCAUCCUAGAUCUCGGGACGAGAUCCUCUUGUAGUGGUGGAGUGUUGUAACACCCAGGAUGUAACUUUCCCUAAUUGUAACUCCAACUCUUGCCAUUUCCGGCUAUGUGAUAUAUUAUUUUCUCCGUGGUUGGGUUUUGUCUUUCGUUUUGCAUUUUGUUCAUGUCAUGCAUCUCAUCUCAUAGCAUCAUGCGCAUUGCAUCUGCAUGUUUUGAUAAAACUUGCAUCCUCUCGUAGUUGCCGUGUCCCCCCUUGCUUUUGUUGGCCGUUCCGAGACCAACCGGGUUUUCCAUUCCCUCUUGUCAAACCAACUAACCUCUCUCAGACCCCUCGCACGCGUCCGAAAGUUGUCCCGAACCUGACCCUCUCUGUCAUUACCGAUGGGUCUGGAUCAUCCCCAAACAUCUAUAAAACAUCCCCGUUUUCUUAUUUGGUCUGCCUAACCUAUUUAUUUUCGACCGCCCGAUUGCAAUCGGACGGACCGAGUUAACCACUACCCUAAUCCCCUACCUAUAUAAAUAGUCCAACCCUAGACCAAUCCCUAAAAUCUAGCCCCCUUGUUCCAUCCAUCCUCCUGCCCGCCGCCACUCUCUCUGGUUCCCCUCAGGAUCACCAACGAACGAACCAGCCACCACCGAAACUUCCAAACCCACCGAUCCACCACUCCACCUCUCCAGCAGCCCCACGCGCCCGUGGAUCCCCUUGACCUCGCCUGAGCUCGCCGGGGAGCAGAGCACCACGGCGCCAGAUUUCCCCGCGCCCCUCUUGAUCCAGGAGCCCGAGCUCCCCAGCCUGAGGCCGUCGUCUUCGACCGGCCUCGUCAGAGACCAGCACCCAGCUGCCUUCUCCUUCCAGUUCGAUCCGGAGGAGAGGAGCUCCUCCAUGCCUCCCCGCGCCAUGGACCUGCGCCACAGCCGGACCCCAACCCCGUGCCCGAUGCUGUCCUGCGCCAUCGUCGUUGACCACCAGAUGAGCCUCGCGCCCAUCUCUUCUCUUCUCCCUCCUUCCCUUUCUUCCUCUCUUGUUUCUCUCUUCUCUCUUCUCUCUUUCUCAAUAUGCUCUCUCUCUCUCUCUCUCUAUUGCAACAAGGAACCGAGCCGCCAUGUUCAUCGCCCUUGUUUUCCCCCGCCAGGAGACUGACUGCAGCCUCCUCGACCCGGAUCCACGCCGUCGUGUUGCUCCGCCCUCGCCGUCGUCCCGCUGCGCUCGGAUCCGCACCUCCCUUCGUUCCCUGCACCGCCGCGUCGCCGGAGCAGGAGCUCCAUCCGCUACCGCGCCCUGCAUCGCCUGAAGCGCCCCGCAUCUCGCCUCCUCUGUCUGCUUCCUCUGCAUCGAGCGAGGCCAGGCAACAGCGCCACAUUGACCGCAUCGUCAACCCACCUGAGCGGGCCGACCUCCUCUCCAGCCGCGCGCCAUGGCCCAACUCACCUCUGCCUCGCCCACGGGCCUCUUCCUCGUUCGGCCCAGCUAGUUCUGGCCGCUGGGCAAGCGCCCACAGCCCCUCUCUGUUGGCCCAGUCCGCCCAGAUUCGGCCCAUGUAUUUUUUUCCAUGCGCUACGAAUUUUGCCAAUUAUCCAGAGGCUGCCUGUUUUACAGAAAAACCCUCAUACUUCAUGCAUUUAAUAACUCAUGAACCGUGCAUCGGAUUAAAAUGAUUUAAACAUGUAAAAUUCUUAGAAUUUUGUGUAGAUUAAUAAUAUCCCACUUUCAUCCAUGAUUAAAAUGUUUAAAAUGAUGUUUGUUUAAAUUUGCUCAAAUGCCAUGUUAAAAUGUUUUAUUUCAUAACUAAAUAACCGUAGCUCGGUUUUAAAUAAACUUUACAUGUAAAUGGGGUAGAAAAAUGCCUAGUUUAACAUGGUGGACUUUAUUUUCCUGUUUAACAACAAUAUAAUAUGUUUUAGGGCAGAACAGUACCAAAUUUGAAAUAUGCAUAUGAGGAUUUUCCGGAAUUGUUGUUUGUUGUUUCCGGCCUCAUUUAAACUUGCCUAAAUAGUAAGUUUACUUUUGUUACACCCCUUGACAUGUUUAAAAACAUUUAACAUUGUUGUGUACCUAAACGAGAGAAAACUAAAUAACUCGGAUGUGGUGUUUCGUCAAUAUGCAACUCGUUGCAUAUUGAGCUCCACUUAACUUGUAGUAUUGUUUGUUGCACUUUGCCAUGCCAUGCCUUAUUAAACCGGACAUGCAUCAUACUUGUUUGUGCAUCAUGCCAUGUUUAUGCUUGUGCAUUUACCAUGUUGUUUGUUUCUUUCCGGUGUUGCUUCUUAGUUCCGGUAAUGUUGCGUUCGUGAGGAUUCGUUCGACUACGUUGGUUCGUCUACUUCAUGGACUCGUUCUUCUUCCUAGCGGGAUUUCUUGCAAGAUGACCAUCACCUUGGAUCUCACUACUAUCAUUUCUAUGCUAGUUGCUUCGUUCUAUCGCUUUGCCGUGCUACCUAUCUCUUGUUGCUCAAGCCUCCCAAAUUGCCAUGUCAGCCUCUAACCUUUUUCACCCUUCCUAGCAAACUGUUGCUUGGCUAUGUUACCACUUUGCUCAGCCCCUCUUAUAGCGUUGCUAGUUGCAGGUGAAGUUGAAGAUUACUCCAUGAUGGACAUGAUUAUGUUGGGAUAUCACAAUAUCUCUUAUUUAAUUAAUGCACCUAUAUACUUGGUAAAGCGUGGAAGGCUCGGCCUUAUGCCUGGCGUUUUGUUCCACUCUUGCCGCCCUAGUUUCCGUCAUACCGGUGUUAUGUUCCUUGAUUUUGCAUUCCUUACGCGGUUGGGUGAUUUAUGGGACCCCCUUGACAGUUCGCUUUGAAUAAAACUCCUCCAGCAAGGCCCAACCUUGGUGUUACCAUUUGCCUCACCUAGCCCUUUUUCUAUUGGGUUUCCGGAGCCCGAGGGUCAUCUUUAUUUAACCCCCCCAGGCCAGUGCACCUUCAAGUGUUGGUCCGAACCGAGCUGCCUGCGGGGCCACCUCGGGGAAACUUGAGGGCUGGUUUUACUCGUAGCUAGUCUCAUCCGGUGUUGCCCUGAGAACGGGAUAUGUGCAGCUCCUAUCGGGAUUGUCGGCACAUCGGGCAGCUUUGCUGGUCUUGUUUUACCAUUGUCAAAAUGUCUUGUAAACCGGGAUUCCGAGACUGAUCGGGUCUUCCUGGGAGAAGGAAUAUCCUUCGUUGACCGUGAGAGCUUGUGAUGGGCUAAGUUGGGACACCCCUGUAGGGUAUAAACUUUCGAGAGCCGUGCCCGCGGUUAUGUGGCAGAUGAGAGUUUGUUAAUGUCCGGUUGUAGAUAACUUGACACCUGAUUCGAAUUAAAAUGCAUCAACCGCGUGUGUAGCCGUGAUGGUCUCUUCUCGGCGGAGUCUGGGAAGUGAACACGGUUUUGGGUUAUGAUUGACGUAAGUAGGAGUUCAGGAUCACCUCUUGAUCAUUGCUAGCUUCAUGACCGUUCCGUUUGCUUCUCUUCUCGCUCUUAUUUGCGUAUGUUAGCCACAAUACUUGCUUAGCCGCUGCUGCAACCUCACCACUUUACCCCUUCCUUACCCAUUAAGCUUUGCUAGUCUUGAUACCCAUGGUAAUGGGAUUGCUGAGUCCUCGUGGCUCACAGAUUACUACAACAAUAGUUGCAGGUGCAGGUUAUCUGAUGAUCAUGACGCGAGAGCGAUGCUUGCUUGUUUUGGAGUUCUUCUUCUGCUUCUUCUUCGAUCAGGGGAUAGGUUCCAGGUCGGCAGCCUGGGCUAGCAGGGUGGAUGUCGUUUGAGUUUCUGUUUAUGUUUCAUCCAUAGUCGGAUGUUGCUCUUAUGUAUGAUGUUGUUGUAUUCGUGUGGCAUUGUAUGCCUCUUGUAUGUAUCCCCAACUAUUAUGUAACGGUACGAUCUAAUGAUAUCCACCUUGCAAAAGCGCCUCCAAUAUGCGCUUCUAUCCUUGGUGGGACCUUCGAGUUCCUUUAGGAUAGAGUUGCAUAUUGGGCGUGACACUCGAGGUGGCACAGAUCGACGCGGUGGCCGCCGGAGCUCGAGGAGGAAGUUGAGGUCGGUGUGGCGUCAUGAGGCGUCCGGCAUCGUGUGGCUCGACGUAGAUGAUGAGGAUGACGCUACGGUGCUCCCGGACUCGUUGGCGAGGCAAGGGGUGGAUGGUGGCCGCGGGCUUGAUCGGAGCGAGCCCAUGGCGGUGCUCGGCAAGGAGGGAUCCGGCGAGGGGGAGGGGAUGGAGCUAGAGGGGGAAAGUGGCGUGAGUNNNNNNNNNNNNNNNNNNNNNNNNNNNNNNNNNNNNNNNNNNNNNNNNNNNNNNNNNNNNNNNNNNNNNNNNNNNNNNNNNNNNNNNNNNNNNNNNNNNNNNNNNNNNNNNNNNNNNNNNNNNNNNNNNNNNNNNNNNNNNNNNNNNNNNNNNNNNNNNNNNNNNNNNNNNNNNNNNNNNNNNNNNNNNNNNNNNNNNNNNNNNNNNNNNNNNNNNNNNNNNNNNNNNNNNNNNNNNUUUUCUUUCUUUUAGUAUAGCCUUUUCCUUUAUCAUUUUCCCGCCUCUGUUUCAUUUAUUUUAGGGCAAUAAAACACUUUAUAAAAUGAAUGUUGGUUCAUCACCAUAAUUAGCUAUGGAAAAUUCGCAACACUUUGAACAUUUUGGUUUUGGCAUCUGAAAACUUUAUUUGUUUGACUUUAUUUUAAAUUUUAACUUGAAUAAGAUGGGAUCAAUGCGGGACCUAGCAACAGUAAAAGUGAUUACCUGGCGCUAUUAACAGGGGAUUACUGUAGCUUAAUUAUUCGAGCGUCACAAAUCUCCUCCACUACAAGAAAUCUCGUCCCGAGAUUUAAGGGGUGAAGUAAGGGGGAAAGACUCGAGAAGGACGGAGCUGAACACAAGAUAGGUACCUGGGGGCUAUCUCAGUGAACGUGGCAUAGAGGCCUCUCUCGAGUUGAAAUUCAAGAAAGUCAUCAAGAGGAAGGUAAGAAGUUGCAAUAAGAAGCUUCAAGUGGUUAGGCAAUCGUUCAAUGUGAAACAAAGUGUGAAAGGGGCUCAGAGCAUUGAGAAUAAGUAUUGCAUUUGAUACAAGAACAUAUCACAAGGAAGGUGGCUUGCAAAUUACAUACGAAGCCAAGCGCGAGGGAUAACUUAGAAAACAGGGAUGUACAGAGAGUCAGGUUUCGAUCCUGUGGAACUGUGGGUUAUGGGCCCACUAUGUGGGUUAAAAGCAGGAAGGUGCUAACAUUUUGCACGGUCAUGAUAGCAAGGCAGGUCAGAGGAUAGCCUGUUAGUUAUGUUGGCAACAAUGUUGGUACCGAGGGCAAGGGACAAAGAGAACUAUUUUUUUGCUCGUUAAGACUAGGCGGACCAAUAGGCAAUGUUCUCUUCCAUCGGUGGCUCCCGGAAUGUCAUCAACAAUAGUAACAAGGUCUUACCAACAGAGUUUGUACACCGAGGUGUUUACAUAAGCAGGGAAUUAUCACUGCUCAGAUAUGUUAGGUUAUAAGAAAGGUUAAACAAAGCAAUGGAAAGGCAAGUGUAGAUCCGAAUCAGUUAUCAGCGUUCUCGAGUGUCUAGUGCCACGUCUCGAGCUUGCGUUGGUUUUCCCCGAAGAGGAGAGGAUGAUGCAGCACAGUAGCGUAAGUAUUUCCCUCAGUUUUUGAGAACCAAGGUAUCAAUCCAGUAGGAGGUCACGCGCAAGUCCCUCGUACCUGCACAACACGAUAACAACUCGCAACCAACACUUAGGGGUUGUCAAUCCCUUCACGGUCACUUACGAGAGUGAAAUCUGAUAGAGAUAAUAUUUUUGGUAUUUUUGAUAGAUAGAUGCAAAGUAAAAAGUAAAGGCAAAGUAAAAACAAAGCAAGUAAAUAAAGUGAUAUAGAUUGAUAUGAUGAGAAUAGACCCGGGGGCCAUAGGUUUCACUAGUGGCUUCGCUCAAGAGCAUAAGUAUUCUACGGUGGGUAAACAAAUUACUGUUGAGCAAUUGACAGAAUUGAGCAUAGUUAUGAGUAUGUCUAGGCAAUGAUCAUGUAUAUAGGCAUCACGUCCGAGACAAGUAGAUCGAAACGAUUCUGCAUCUACUACUAUUACUCCACUCGUCGACCGCUAUCCAGCAUGCAUCUAGAGUAUUAAGUUAAAAACAGAGUAACGCCUUAAGCAAGAUGACAUGAUGUAGAGGGAUAAAUUCAUGCAAUAUGAUAAAAACCCCAUCUUGUUAUCCUCGAUGGCAACAAUACAAUACGUGCCUUGCAACUCUUUCUGUCGCUGAGUAAGGACACCACAAGAUUGAACCCAAAGCUAAGCACUUCUCCCAUUGCAAGAACUACCAAUCUAGUUGGCCAAACCAAACGGAUAAUUCGAAGAGACUUGCAAAGAUAACUCAAUCAUACAUAAAAGAAUUCAGACAAGAAUCAAAUAUUUUCCAUAGAUAAUACUGGAUCAUAAACCCACAAUUCAUCGGUCUCAACAAACACACCGCAAAAAGAAGAUUACAUCGAAUAGAUCUCCACAAGAGAGGGGGAGAACAUUGUAUUGAGAUCCAAAAAGAGAGAAGAAGCCAUCUAGCUACUAGCUAUGGACCCAAAGGUCUGAAGUAAACUACUCACACUUCAUCGGAGGGGCUAUGGUGAUGAUGUAGAAGCCCUCCGUGGUGGAUGCCCCCUCCGGCGGAGCUCCAGAACAGGCCCCAAGAUGGGAUCUCGUGGAUACAGAAGGUUGCGGCGGUGGAAUUAGGUUUUUUGGCUCUGUUCUGAUCAUACGGGGAUACGUAGGUAUAUAUAGGAGGAAGGAGUACGNNNNNNNNNNNNNNNNNNNNNNNNNNNNNNNNNNNNNNNNNNNNNNNNNNNNNNNNNNNNNNNNNNNNNNNNNNNNNNNNNNNNNNNNNNNNNNNNNNNNNNNNNNNNNNNNNNNNNNNNNNNNNNNNNNNNNNNNNNNNNNNNNNNNNNNNNNNNNNNNNNNNNNNNNNNNNNNNNNCUCGGAAGCUUGUUGGAGUAGGGUCCAAGUCUCCUGGAUCACGUUCGGUGAGAAGAUCACGUUCCCGAAGGUUUCAUUCCGUUUGGACUCCGUUUAAUAUUCCGUUUCUUCGAAACACUGAAAUAGGCAAAAAACAACAAUGUUGGGCUAGGCCUCCGGUUAAUAGGUUAGUCCCAAAAAUAAUAUAAAAGUGGAAAAUAAACCCAAUAUAGUCCAAAACAGUAGAUAAAGUAGCAUGGAGCAAUCAAAAAUUAUAGAUACGUUGGAGACGUAUCAAGCAUCCCCAAGCUUAAUUCCUGCUCGUCCUCGAGUAGGUAAAUGAUAAAAAAGAAUUUUUGAUGCGGAGUGAUACUUUGGCAUGAUUUCAAUGUAAAUCUUCUAAAUCAUGGUAUGAAUAUUCAGAUCCGAAAGAUUCAAGACAAAAGUUCAUGUUGACAUAAAAAUAAUAAUACUUCAAGCAUACUAAUCAAGCAAUCACGUCUUCUCAAAAUAACAUGGCCAAAGAAAGUUCAUCCCUACAAAAUCAUAUAGUUAGGCUAUGUUUCAUUUUCGUCACACAAAGAUGUUCCCAACUUCUAUACCCCCGAUGACAAGCCAAGCAAUUGUUUCAUACUCAAAUGAUCUCAAACUUUUUCAACCUUCACGCAAUACAUGAGCGCGAGCCAUGGAUAUAGCACUAUGGGUGGAAUAGAAUAUGAUGAUGGGGAUUGUUUGGAGAAGACAAAAAAGGAGAAAGUCUCACAUCAACGAGGCUAAUCAAUGAGCUAUGGAGAUGCCCAUCGAUUGAUGUUAAUGCAAGGAGGUGGGAUUGCCAUGCAACGGAUGCACUAGAGCUAUGAAUGCUCAACAAAAGAAAACUAGUGGGUGUGCAUCCAACUUGCUUGCUCAUGAAGACCUAGGGCAUUUGAGGAAGACCAUCGUAGGAAUAUACAAGCCAAGUUCUAUAAUGAAAAAUUCCCACUAGUAUAAACAAGACAACUUAUGAGACUCUCUAUAUGAAAAACAUGGUGCUACUUUGAAGCACAAAUAUAUGAGACUCACUUCAUGAAGAACAAGGUGCUACUUUGAAGCACAAGUGUGGUAAAAGGAUAGUAACAUUGCCCCUUCUCUCUUUUUCUCUCAUUUAUUUUUAUUUUUUUAUUUGGGCCUUUUCUCUUUUUUUAUUUGGGCUUCUUUGGCCUCUUUUUUUUCGUCUGGAGUCUCAUCUCGACUUGUGGGGGAAUCAUAGUCUCCAUCAUCCUUUCCUCACUGGGGCAAUGCUCUAAUAAUGAUGAUCAUCACACUUUUAUUACAACAACUUGAUAUUACAACUCGAAACUAGAACAAGAUAUGACUCUAUAUGAAUGCCUCCGGCGGUGUACCGGGAUGGUGCAAUGAAUCAAGAGUGACAUGUAUGCAAAAUAAUGCAUGGUGGCUGUCGGUGUCAAAACCGGCGGAUCUCGGGUAGGGGGUCCCUAACUAUGCAUCUAGGCGGAUGGUAACAGGAGACAAGGGACACGAUGUUUUACCUAGGUUCGGGCCCUCUCGAUGGAGGUAAAACACUACGUCCUGCUUGAUUAAUAUUGAUGAUAUGGGUAGUACAAGAGUAGAUCUACCACGAGAUCAAGGAGGCUAAACCCUAGAAGCUACCCUAUGGUAUGAUUGUUGUAGUGGAGGUUAUGUCCUACGGACUAAAGCCCUCCGGUUUAUAUAAACACCGGAGAGGGCUAGGGUUACACAGAGUCGGUUACAAUGGUAGGAGAUGUACAUAUCCGUAUCGCCAAGCUUGCCUUCCACGCCUAGGAAAAUCCCAUCCGGACACGGGACGGAGUCUUCAAUCUUGUAUCUUCGUAGUCUUGGAGUCCGGCGGACGAUGAUAGUCCGGCUGUCCGGACACCCCCUAGUCCAGGACUCCCUCAGUAGCCCCUGAACCUGGCUUCAAUGACGAUGAGUCCGGCGCGCAUAAUGUUCGGCAUUGCAAGGCGGGUUCCUCCUUUGAAUAAUCCAGAGAAGAUUGUGAACACCCGGAUAGUGUCCGGCACUGCAAAAUAAAUUCCACAUUCCACCGUAGAGAGAAUAAAAUGUACACAAGUUCAAUCUGCUGACGUUUUUUGUGGCAUGACGUCACACCACUACCAAGCCUUUACAUGAAUCGUUUUUUAUUAUACCACCUCAGCGCGUUUAGCGAAGCGGUUUCCUUGGCACGUCCUGUCGAAGCAGAGAUCGUGUUCCCCUUAUUCCGAGAUUCUCAUCAAUACGAACGUGGGUAACCCAACCGUGCCAUUGAUGGUGGCGCUUGGGAGAUAAGCGAGUUUUACCAGGCUGGUGGGGGACGCAUAGUUUCGUCCACCUAUAUAUAAGGGAUAAGGAUUCACCCUUUCACCUACGCCUCCUUCCUCCUUUGCUUAUCCAUCUCUGCGCACUUGAGCUCCAAUGCCCAAGUUCGCGCAUCUCGUCUCGACCUUCUCUAACCAUGUCCGGAGUGGGAGGCAAAUGGCUGGCCUCCACCGUGAAGGAGGAGCACAUCACAAGGCUGCGUAGCACCUGGUACCUUUCCGGCGAUGUUGCGCAUUGGCUGCCCGACGAGGGGCAACUCAUCCCCACCCCUGGGCCCCAUGAGAGGGUCGUUUUCCUUCCCCACUUCCUCCACGGACUGGGCCUUCCACUUCUCCCCUUUGUCCGGGGGCUCAUGUUCUACUACGGCCUGGAUUUCCAUGAUCUGGCGCCGAACUUCAUCCUCAACAUCUCGUCGUUUAUCGUCGUGUGUGAGGCCUUCCUAUGCAUCCAGCCCCACUUCGGCUUAUGGCUCAAGUCCUUCAAUGUCAAGCCGAAGGUGGUGAAGGGCACUCAAGCGGAGUGCGGAGGCGCCAUGUUGGGCAAGAUGCCCAACGUCCUUUGGUUCGAAGGGGCCUUCGUGGAAUCCGUCAAGGGGUGGCAGUCGGGGUGGUUCUAUAUCACCGAGCCGCGCGACCCUACGUGGGCGGCGGCCCCCGAGUUCAGAUCUGGUAUCCCUACGCAGCUCACCUCCUGGAAAGAGAAGGGCUUGCGAUGGGGUAAUUCGAAGGAGCUGACGGGACUCCAAGCUUGUAUCCAGAAGCUGGUGAACAAGAAGCUCAGGCUGGUUAACAUGGUCCAGGUCAUGCUCGUCCGCCGGAUUCGUGCGGCGGCUGGUGGAUGCAUGCCCCUGGGUGGAGGUCCUCAAGCGCUCCGCCUGUAUUGAAGGUGCUCGUCGGGCCCUUGCCCGCACAAAGGUGCACUGGGGCAGGCUGGAUGCAGAGAAGCUUCUUACUGACCCGCCGCCAGCGGGCAAGGAGUAUCGUACGCCCGAAAUGUACUAUAAGACUGUCCUGAAGGGAGCCCGCGAUAUUGCGGAUGAAUGCCCCAGAGAUGUAAUUUUUGAGUAAAACUCACUAUGUAUUAUCCCAUGCGUUGAAAACUUUGUUCAUAUGCGCUUUAAGCAACACUUGUUUAAUUUAAAAUAUUACCUUCUUUGCGGCCGUUUAUAAAAUCUGAGAGAUGGCAAGUCGUUGGCUUCAGCCCCCGAGCCGCGAGUGCUGGGGUGUUCGGGAUAAACUUGAGCACUCUUGUUCCCAUUUUUGGGUCCAUCUAGGGAGGCGCUGAACACGACGAACAAGGCAACCGGACUUAUAAUGCUUGAACACUCUCACUUAGCCAUAGAAUUCUAUAAUUUUAAAUUUCGGCGAAGCCCCUAGUAUUCGGAAGACCAAAUUCAGGGCGCUAUCCACGCCUUCAUCGGACAUUAUCCGGUACUUCGCUCGAAGCGGCAUGAGUCUUUAGGGACCCGAAAAGACCUCUCGAACAGCGACCAGUCUCUCGCCUUAUCAUGCCAGUCAGUUUUAGCUUUCUCCAUUGAGGCUCUCGCCCAGCUCAAUUGGGGCGCAAUCGCAGUGGUUCUCCCAGUGCCACCUUAGCCGACAGAACGGAACGUAAGGCACCAAAACGUGGGAGCUGGGCAAACCCAACUAUUGACCCAAGACAUGAUUCGGAGCCGAUUCAUAUAAUGCUAUAAGUUCGGGGUGCCGCACUUGUGAAAGUGUUCGGACUUAUCACACCAUAAUGCGGGGAACAUAAGCCCCUGGUGUAUUAGGCCGUACCAAAAUAUACGGGUGCAAGAUGUCAUUUAAUGAACAUAUAUAUAUAAAGUAAUGUAAUUACAGGCGAAAAGAUGCUGCAUUAUUUAUUCGAGGAGUUCUACUAUGAGUGCGGAAGGAUACAAAUAGUGCGGUAAGCAAGGGAUUGAACUAAAUAAACAUGUCCCCCUCCAGGGGUGGGCUGCAGACUGGUGUAUAUAAUCGAAUUUAAUGCUCGUAAUGGAGACCACCUGAGUGUUCGUCGCAGCCUUCUUCCCUCCCUGGCUGUUGCAUCGUGAGUUCGGCGGGUUCGUCGCCGGACAAAACCUCUGGUGAACGGAGUCCUGUGUAUAAAAAAGGAAAAUAAUAAAAGGCGACACACUUGUGAGCCCCUGGUGUGGUCGAGCCGCACUCUGGGGCUAUUGUGGUCGUGCCCCUCCCCCCAGGCCCAUGGUAUCUCCAGAGCGUAAUGAUGUAUGCGGAGGGUUGGUUUUGCAAUCAUGCGAGGGCUGGGGUCGGGGCCGCAUUGCUACACGUGCUCGGAUCGUUCCAGGUGGUCUUGGUUGAUGUUGCUCCGGGCGCGUUUGGCCGUAUCCGGCCGUUUAACGGCCGGACUCGAAAAUUGCCUUGAAAGGCUGCUCUGUACUUCUGCCGCGAGAGCCGCUGUAUGUUCCUCCGUUCGGAGGGAGCGUUCCGUAUUUCUGUUGACCGUGAUGACUCCGCGAGGGCCUGACAUCUUGAGCUUGAGGUAUGCAUAAUGCGGCACCGCGUUGAACUUUGCAAACGCGGUUCAUCCGAGCAGAGCGUGAUAGCCGCUGCGGAAUGGGACUAUGUCGAAGAUUAACUCCUCGCUCCGGAAAUUAUCCGGGGAUCCGAAGACCACUUCCAGUGUGACUGAGCCUGUACAGUUGGCCUCAACACCUGGUAUGAUGCCUUUAAAGGUCGUCUUCGUAGGUUUAAUCCUUGAGGGGUCUAUGCCCAUCUUGCGCACUGUAUCCUGAUAAAGCAGGUUCAGGCUACUGCCGCCGUCCAUCAGGACUCUUGUGAGGUGAAAUCCAUCGACGAUUGGGUCUAAAACCAAUGCGGCGAAUCCGCCAUGGCGGAUACUGGUUGGAUGGUCUCUUCGAUCGAAAGUGAUCGGGCAAGAGGACCAUGGAUUGAACUUCGGGGCGACUGGCUCCAUCGCAUAUACGUCCCUUAGUGCACGCUUCCGCUCCCUCUUGGGUAUGUGGGUUGCAUAUAUCAUAUUAACCGUCCGCACUUGUGGGGGGAAACCCUUCUGUCCUCUGUUGUUCGGCGGUCGGGUCUCUUCCUCGUCGUCACUGUGUAGCCCCUUGUCAGUGUUUUCGGCAAUUAAUUUGCCUGCCUGCUUGAAUACCCAACAAUCUCUAUUGGUGUGAUUGGCUGGCUUUUCGGGGGUGCCAUGUAUCUGGCAUAAGCGGUCGAGUAGUCGGUCCAAAUUGGACGGACCCGGAGUGGUUCUUUUGAAUGGCUUCUUCCGCUGACCAGGUUUAGAGCCUCGGAAUCCGGCGUUGACUGCCGUAUCCUCCUUGUCGUCGCCGUUAAUGCAUCGUUUAUUUUUGCUUCGAUGCGACCUGCCAUUGUGGUCCUUGGUAUCCGGACUGCCAGAAUUUUUACUGAGGUUGUUGCUGCGAGCUAGCCAGCUGUCCUCUCCCGCACAAAAGCGGGUCAUUAAGGAUGUGAGGGCUGCCAUGGAUUUCGGCUUUCCCUGUCCUAGGUGUCGGGCUAGCCACUCGUCGCGGAUGUUAUGUUUGAAGGCUGCGAGGGCCUCUACAUCCGGACAGUCGACAAUUUGAUUUUUUUUGUUAGGAACCGUGUCCAGAACUGUCUGGCCGAUUCGUCUGGCUGCUGAAUUAUGUGGCUUAGGUCAUCGGCGUCUGGUGGUCGCACAUAUGUGCCCUAGAAGUUGUCGAGGAAUGAGGCUUCUAGGUCUUCCCAACACCCAAUUGACUCUACGGGCAAGCUGUUGAGCCAAUGCCGAGCUGGUCCUUUAAGCUUGAGUGGGAGAUAUUUGAUGGCAUGGAGAUCGUCACCGCGGGCCAUAUGGAUGUGAAGGAGGUAAUCUUCGAUCCAAACCGCGGGGUCUGUUGUGCCAUCGUAGGAUUCAAUGUUUACGGGUUUAAACCCUUCAGGGAUUUGAUGAUCCAUUACUUCGUCAGUGAAGCAUAGCGGGUGUGCGGCGCCUCUAUAUUGGGCAAUAUCACGACGUAGCUCGAGUGAGCGUUGUCUGCUGUGUUCGGCCCGGCCAGAGUUAUUGUAUCCGGCGCGAUAGUAUUCGUCGUGGGUCGUGGGGCGCCCACGUGAUCCAUAGAUGGAUCUGGAUUGCCUUGUUUUGUCCUCCAAUAUAUCUCGCAAGUCCGGCGCGUUCCCUCUUGGCUUCGUACUUUUGGAGCGAUGCCGGGGUACGGUCUUGGUGGAGGGCCUAGAUGCCUCUCUGUCGCGACCACGGGGUGGUCGGUCGGCCGUAUUGUGCGCUGGUGAUGAAGGUAUGUAUGCUUCCUCCUCUAAUCGGGGGAGCGACUUGCGUUUUGGGUAGCUUUUGGAGGGGCGUUCGAGUUCGUACUCUUCGGCCGCGAGGACCUCGGUCCAUCAAUCGGCCAGCAGGUCUUGAUCAGCUUGAAGCUGUUGUUGUUUUUUCUUUAGGCUAUUUGCCGUGGCGAUAAGCCUACGUUUAAAACGCUCUUGUUCGACGGGAUCCUCGGGCACGACGAAUUCGUCGUUGUUGAGGCUUGCCUCGUCUUCGGAGGGAGGUAUGUAAUUAUCAUCCUCGACCUCUUCAUCUGCCGCUCUCUUGUGAGGGCUUGCUUAUGCCUCCUCCUGCGCUGAAUCUUGCUGGAGGGGAUUGUCUUCGGCACUUUCUGGGGUAUUGUUAUCUCCUGUGCCUGAAUCUCCAUUCUUGCUGUGGCGGGAUUUGGAGCGGCGCCGCUGACAUCAGCGCUUGGGCUGCUUCUUUAAGGAAUCUUCCUCCGCUGCUUCUUCGCCGCCCCCCUCUUUUGGGGUGGUCUUCGAGUGCCCUUUAGGCGCUGGUUCUUGUUCGUCUCCGGCAUCGUCGUCCAUACCGUCGAUGUCUUCGGAGUCGUAGUCUAGCAUGUCUGUUAGAUCGUCGACAGUACCUACAAAGUGGGUGGUGGGUGGGCUUUGAAUUUCUUCGUCGUCCGUUCCCCAACCGUCCUGGCCAUAGUCCGGCCAGGUCUCUCCAGAUAGCGAGAGAUGUUUUAGCGAAUUUAGGAUGUCGCCAAAGGGCGAGUAUUGGAAGAUGUCCGCGGCGGUGAAUUCCAUGACCGGCGCCCAAUCAGAUUCGAUUGGCAGGGGUGCGGGAGGUUCGGAGUCCGGCAGGGAGUCCGGCACCUCGGAGUCACGAGCUUCGCAAGGGACAAGGUUAGUGUUCGGCUCCAUCGCCGUGGAAGUUGCAGCCCCCGAGGUGGUGUCCAGCCACCGGUCCUCGAUUUGGGCGAUCGGCUCCGGACCGAGGGCCGGAGCGGAUUCGUGUGCGGCCACCAAGGCACUAUCCGGCGGCAGAGCUAGAUCAUGCCCAUCGUGACAGUGCGGCACACUUGGUUGUGGCUCGAGCCCGUCGAAGAUCAAGUCCCCGCGGAUGUCGGACGUAAAGUUUAGGCUUCCGAACCUGACCUGACGUCCAGGGGCGUAGCUUUCGAUCUGCUCCAGAUGGCCAAGUGAAUUAGCCCGCAGUGCGAAGCCGCCGAAUACGAAGAUCUGUCCAGGGAGAAAAGUCUCGCCCUGAACGGUGUUGUUGGUUGAAGAAGCCAUCGAGCCUAUCGGUGACGACACAGAGGAACUCUCAAUGAAAGCACCAAUGUCGGUGUCAAAACCGGCGGAUCUCGUGUAGGGGGUCCCGAACUGUGCGUCUAGGUAGAUGGUAACAGGAGAGAAGGGACACGAUGUUUUACCCAGGUUCGGGCCCUCUUGAUGGAGGUAAAACCCUACGUCCUGCUUGAUUAAUAUUGAUGACAUGGGUAGUACAAGAGUAGAUCUACCACGAGAUCAAGGAGGAUAAACCCUAGAAGCUAGCCUAUGGUAUGAUUGUUGUAAUGUAGGUUAUGUCCUACGGACUAAAGCCCUCCGGUUUAUAUAGACACCGGAGAGGGCUAGGGUUACACAGAGUCGGUUACAAUGGUAGGAGAUCUACAUAUCCGUAUCGCCAAGCUUGCCUUCCACGCCAAGGAAAAUCCCAUCCGGACACGGGACGGAGUCUUCAAUCUUGUAUCUUUGUAGUCUUGGAGUCCGGCGGACGAUGAUAGUCCGGCUGUCCGGACACCCCCUAGUCCAGGACUCCCUCAGUAGCUUUGCCACAAAUACGAUGUCAACUACAAGAUCAUGCAAUGGCAAUAUGACAAAAGUAAAGUAUGUCAUGAUGAACGGAACGGUGGAAAGUUGCAUGGCAAUAUAUCUCGGAAUGGCUAUGGAAAUGCCAUAAUAGGUAGGUAUGGUGGCUGUUUUGAGGAAGAUAUAAGGAGGUUUAUGUGUGAAAGAGCGUAUCAUAUCACGGGGUUUGGAUGCACCGGCAAAGUUUGCACCAACUCUCAAGGUGAGAAAGGGCAAUGCACGGCACCGAAGAGGCUAGCAAAUGCGGAAAGGUAGAAGUGCGUAUAAUCCAUGGACUCAACAUUAGUCAAAAGAACUCAUAUAGUUAUUGCAAAAAUUUAGAAGACAUCAAAAAUCAAGUACUACGCACAAUGCUCCUAGGGGAUAGAUUAGGAAAAGACCAUCGCUCGUCCCCGACCGCCACUCAUAAGGAUGCACAAGCCAGGUACACUUCAUGCUUCAAAUUUGUCACACAACUUCACCCAUAUGUUCAUGCUACGGGACUUACAAACUUCAACACAAGUAUUUCUCAAUUUCACAACUACUCAACUAGCAUGACAUUGAUAUUAUUACCUCCAUAUCUCAAAACAAUUAUUAAGCACUAAAUUUAUCUUAGUAUUCAAUUCACUCAAAAGAAAGUUUCACAUAUCUUGAACACCAAGUAUAUUAACAUUAAGCAAAUUACCAUGCUAUUAAUGACUCUCAAAAUAAUCUAAGUGAAGCAUGAGAGAUCAAGUUUCUUUAAAACAAAUCCACCACCGUGCUCUAAAAUAUCUAAGUGAAGCACUAGAGCAAAAAUUAUCACGCUAAAAAAUAUAAGUGAAGCGCUAUGAGCAAAACUAUCAAGCUCAAAAGAUAUAAGUGAGGCACAUAGAGUAUUCUAACAAAUUCCAAAUCAUGUAUGGCUCUCUCAAAAGGUGUGUACAGCAAGGAUGAUUGUGGUAGACUAACAGGCAAAGACGCAAAUAAUACAAGACGCUCCAAGCAAAACACAUAUCAUGUUGGUGAAUAAAAAUAUAGCUCCAAGUAAAUUACUGAUGGAAGUGGACGAAAGAGGGGAUGCCUUCCGGGGCAUCCCCAAGCUUUGACUUUUUGGUGUCCUUGGAUUAUCUUGGGGGUGCCAUGGGCAUCCCCAAGCUUAGGCUCUUGCCACUCCUUGUUCCAUAAUCCAUCAAAAGAAUUCACCCAAAACUUGAAAACUUCACAACACAAAACUCAACAGAAAUCUUGUGAGCUCCGUUAGAGAAAGAAAACAAAAGACUACUUCAAGGUACUGUAAUUAACUCAUUCUUUAUUUAUAUUGGUGUUAAACCUACUGUAUUCCAACUUCUCUAUGGUUUAUAAACUAAUUUACUAGCCAUAGAUUCAUCAAAAUAAGCAAACAACACACGCAAAAUAGAAUCUGUCAAAAACAGAACAGUCUGUAGUAAUCUGUAACUAACGCAAACUUCUGGAACUCUAAAAAUUCUACCAAAAUAGGAAGUCCUGGACAAUUUGUUUAUUCAUCAGCAUAAAAAAGAAUCAACGCAAAAUCACUCUCCAGUAAAAAAUGGCAGCUAAUCUCGUGAGCGCUAAGGUUUCUGUUUUUCAGCAGAAUCAAAUCAACUAUCAUCGUAGGUUAUCCUAUAGGUCCUACUUGGCACAAACACUAACUAAAACAUAAAACUGUUGGGGAACGUAGUAAUUUCAAAAAAUUUCCUAUGCACACGCAAGAUCAUGGUGAUGCAUAGCAACGAGAGGGGAGAGUGUUGUCUACGUACCCUCGUAGACCGAAGCGGAAGCGUUGACACAACGUAGAGGAAGUAGUCGUACGUCUUCCCGGUCCAACCGAUCCAAGCACCGUUACUCCGGCACCUCCGAGUUCUUGACACACGUACAGCUCGAUGAUGCACCCCGGGCUCCGAUCCAGUAGAGCUUCAGGGAGGAGUUCUGUCAGCACGACGGCGUGGUGACGAUCUUGAUGUUCAACUGUCGCAGGGCUUUGCCUAAGCACCGCUACAAUAUGACCGAGGUGUAAUAUCGUGGAGGGGGGCACCGCACACGGCUAAGGAACGAUCACAAAGAUCAACUUGUGUGUCUAUGGGGUGCCCCCCGCCCCCGUAUAUAAAGGAGCAAGGNNNNNNNNNNNNNNNNNNNNNNNNNNNNNNNNNNNNNNNNNNNNNNNNNNNNNNNNNNNNNNNNNNNNNNNNNNNNNNNNNNNNNNNNNNNNNNNNNNNNNNNNNNNNNNNNNNNNNNNNNNNNNNNNNNNNNNNNNNNNNNNNNNNNNNNNNNNNNNNNNNNNNNNNNNNNNNNNNNNNNNNNNNNNNNNNNNNNNNNNNNNNNNNNNNNNNNNNNNNNNNNNNNNNNNNNNNNNNNNNNNNNNNNNNNNNNNNNNNNNNNNNNNNNGGGGGGGGAGGCCGGCCGGCCCCUUGGGCGCGCCAAGGAGGAGGAAUCCUCCUCCUAGUAGGAGUAGGAUUCCUCCUUUCCUACUCCUACUAGGAGGGGGAAGGAAGGGGGAGAGAGGGGAAAGGAAAGGGGGGGGGGGCGCCCCCCUCCUAGUCCAAUUCGGACCAGAGGGAGACGAGGCACACGGCCCACCCUGGCCGCCCCUCUCUCUUCCCACCAAGGCCCAUGUGGCCCAUUAAUUCUCCCGGGGGGUUCUGGUAACCCCCCCGGCACUCCGGUUUUCUCCGAAAUCACCCGGAACAAUUCCGGUGUCCGAAUAUAGUCGUCCAAUAUAUCAAUCUUUAUGUCUCGACCAUUUCGAGACUUCUCGUCAUGUCCGUGAUCACAUCCAGGACUCCGAACAACCUUCGGUACAUCAAAAUACAUAAACUCAUAAAGUAACUACCAUCGUAACUUUAAGCGUGCGGACCCUACGGUUCGAGAACAGUGUAGACAUGACCGAGACAUGUCUCCGGUCAAUAACCAAUAGCGGGACCUGGAUGCCCAUAUUGGUUCCUACAUAUUCUACGAAGAUCUUUAUCGGUCAGACCGCAUAACAACAUACGUUGUUCCCUUUGUCAUCGGUAUGUUACUUGCCCGAGAUUCGAUCGUCGGUAUCCAAUACCUAGUUCAAUCUCGUUACCGGCAAGUCUCUUUACUCGUUCCGUAAUACAUCAUCUCGCAACUAACUCAUUAGUUGCAAUGCUUGCAAGGCUUAAGUGAUGUGCAUUACCGAGAGGGCCCAGAGAUACCUCUCCGACAUUCGGAGUGACAAAUCCUAAUCUCGAAAUACGCCAACCCAACAAGUACCUUUGGAGACACUUGUAGAGCACCUUUAUAAUCACCCAGUUACGUUGUGAUGUUUGGUAGCACACAAAGUGUUCCUCCGAUAAACGGGAGUUGCAUAAUCUCAUAGUCAUAGGAACAUGUAUAAGUCAUGAAGAAAGCAAUAGCAACAUACUAAACGAUCGGGUGCUAAGCUAACGGAAUGGGUCAUGUCAAUCAGAUCAUUCAACUAAUGAUGUGAUCUCGUUAAUCAAAUAACAACUCUUUGUUCAUGGUUAGGAAACAUAACCAUCUUUGAUUAACAAGCUAGUCAAGUAGAGGCAUACUAGUGACACUCUGUUUGUUUAUAUAUUCACACAUGUAUUAUGUUUCCGGUUAAUACAAUUCUAGCAUGAAUAAUAAACAUUUAUCAUGAUAUAAGGAAAUAAAUAAUAACUUUAUUAUUGCUUCUAGGGCAUAUUUCCUUCAGUCUCCCACUUGCACUAGAGUCAAUAAUCUAGAUUACAUAGUAAUGAUUCUAACACCCAUGGAGUCUUGGUGUUGAUCAUGUUUUGCUCGUGGAAGAGGCUUAGUCAACGGGUCUGCAACAUUCAGAUCCGUAUGUAUCUUGCAAAGCUCUAUGUCUCCCACCUGGACUAGAUCCCGGAUGGAAUUGAAGCGUCCCUUGAUGUGCUUGGUUUUCUUGUGAAAUCUGAAUUCCUUCGCUAAGGCAAUCGCUCCAGUAUUGUCACAAAAGAUUUUCAUUGGACCCGAUGCACUAGGUAUGACACCUAGAUCGGAUAUGAACUCCUCCAUCCAGACUCCUUCAUUGGCUGCUUCCGAAGCAGCUAUGUAUUCCGCUUCACACGUAGAUCCCGCCACGACGCUUUGCUUUGAACUGCACCAACUGACAGCUCCUCCGUUUAAUGUAAAGACGUAUCCGGUUUGCGAUUUAGAAUCGUUCGGAUCAGUGUCAAAGCUUGCAUCAACGUAACCAUUUACGAUGAGCUCUUUGCCACCUCCAUAUACGAGAAACAUAUCCUUAGUCCUUUUCAAGUACUUCAAGAUGUUCUUGACCUGUCCAGUGAUCCACUCCUGGAUUACUUUGGUACCUCCCUGCUAAACUUAUAGCAAGGCACACAUCAGGUCUGGUACACAUCAUUGCAUACAUGAUAGAGCCUAUGGCUGAAGCAUAGGGAACAUCUUUCAUUUUCUCUCUAUCUUCUGCAGUGGUCAGGCUUUGAGUCUUACUCAACUUCACACCUUGCAAUACAGGCAAGAACCCCUUCUUUGCUUGAUCCAUUUGAACUUCUUCAAAAUUUUGUCAAGGUAUGUGCUUUGUGAAAGUCCAAUUAAGCGUUUUGAUCUAUCUCUAUAGAUCUUAAUGCCCAAUAUGUAAGCAGCUUCACCGAGGUCUUUCAUUGAAAACUUUUAUUCAAGUAUCCCUUUAUGCUAUCCAGAAAUUCUAUAUCAUUUCCAAUCAAUAAUAUGUCAUCCACAUAUAAUAUUAGAAAUGCUACAGAGCUCCCACUCACUUUCUUGUAAAUACAGGCUUCUCCAAAAGUCUAUAUAAACCCAAAUGCUUUGGUCACACUAUCAAAACGUUUAUUCCAACUCCAAGAGGCUUGCACCAGUCCAUAAAUGGAUCGCUGGAGCUUGCACACUUUGUUAGCUCCCUUUGGAUCGAUAAAACCUUCUGGUUGCAUCAUAUACAACUCUUCCUCCAGAAAUCCAUUCAGGAAUGCAGUUUUUACAUCCAUUUGCCAAAUUUCAUAAUCAUAAAAUGCGGCAAUUGCUAACAUGAUUCAGACAGACUUAAGCAUCGCUACGGGUGAGAAGGUCUCAUCGUAGUCAAUCCCUUGAACUUGUCGAAAAGCUUUUGCAACAAGUCGAGCUUUGUAGACAGUAACAUUACCGUCAGCGUCAGUCUUCUUCUUGAAGAUCCAUUUAUUCUGAAUUGCUUGUCGAUCAUCGAGCAAGUCAACCGAAGUCCAUACUUUGUUCUCAUACAUGGAUCCCAUCUCAGAUUUCAUGGCUUCAAGCCAUUUUGCGGAAUCUGGGCUCACCAUCGCUUCUUCAUAGUUCGUAGGUUCAUCAUGAUCUAGUAGCAUGACUUCCAGAAUAGGAUUACCGUACCACUCUGGUGCGGAUCUUACUCUGUUUGACCUACGAGGUUCUGUAUUAACUUGAUCUGAAGUUCUAUGAUCAUCAUCAUCAACUUCCUCACUAGUUGGUUUUGACGUCACAGAAACCGGUUCCUGUGUUGUAUUAUUUUCCAACAAGGGAGUAGGUACAGUUACCUCAUCAAGUUCUACUUUCCUCCCACUCACUUCUUUCGAGAGAAACUCCUUCUCUAGAAAGGAUCCAUUCUUAGCAACGAAUGUCUUGCCUUCGGAUCUGUGAUAGAAGGUGUACCCAACUGUCUCCUUUGGGUAUCCUAUGAAGACACAUUUCUCCGAUUUGGGUUCGAGCUUAUCAGGUUGAAGCUUUUUCACAUAAGCAUCGCAGCCCCAAACUUUAUGAAACGACAACUUUGGUUUGUUGCCAAACCAUAGUUCAUAAGGUGUCGUCUCAAUGGAUUUUGAUGGUGCCCUAUUUAAUGUGAAUGUGGCCGUCUCUAAAGCAUAACCCCAAAAUGAUAGCGGUAAAUCAGUAAGAGACAUCAUAGAUCGCACCAUAUCAAGUAAAGUACGAUUACGACGUUCGGACACACCAUUACGCUGUGGUGUUCCGGGUGGCGUGAGUUGUGAAACUAUUCCGCAUUGUUUCAAGUGUAGACAAAACUCGUAACUCAAAUAUUCUCCUCCACGAUCAGAUCGUAGAAACUUUAUUUUCUUGUUAUGAUGAUUUUCAACUUCACUCUGAAAUUCUUUGAACUUUUCAAAUGUUUCAGACUUAUGCUUCAUUAAGUAGAUAUACCCAUAUCUGCUUAAAUCAUCUGUGAAGGUGAGAAAAUAACGAUAUCCGCCACGAGCCUCAACAUUCAUCGGAGCACAUACAUCUGUAUGUGUGAUUUCCAACAAAUUUGUUGCUCUCUCCAUAGUACCGGAGAACGGCGUUUUGGUCAUCUUGCCCACGAGGCACGGUUCGCAAGUACCAAGUGAUUCAUAAUCAAGUGGUUCCAAAAGUCCAUCAAUAUGGAGUUUCUUCAUGCGCUUUACACCGAUAUGACCUAAACGGCAGUGCCACAAAUAAGUUGCACUAUCAUUAUCAACUCUGCAUCUUUUGGCUUCAACACUAUGAAUAUGUGUAUCACUACUAUCGUGAUUCAUCAAAAAUAGACCACUCUUCAAGGGUGCAUGACCAUAAAAGAUAUUACUCAUAUAAAUAGAACAACCAUUAUUCUUUGAUUUAAAUGAAUAACCGUCUCGCAUCAAACAAGAUCCAGAUAUAAUGUUCAUGCUUAACGUUGGCACCAAAUAAAAAUUAUUUAGGUCUAAUACUAAUCCCGAAGGUAGAUGUAGAGGUAGCGUGCCGACCGCGAUCACAUCAACUUUGGAACCAUUUCCCACGCGCAUCGUCACCUCGUCCUUUGCUAGUGUUCACUUAAUCCGUAGUCCCUGUUUCGAGUUGCAAAUAUUAGCAACAGAACCAGUAUCAAAUACCCAGGUGCUACUACGAGCUCUAGUAAGGUACACAUCAAUAACAUGUAUAUCACAUAUACCUUUGUUCACCUUGCCAUCCUUCUUAUCCGCCAAAUACUUGGGGCAGUUCCGCUUCCAGUGUCCAGUCUGCUUGCAGUAGAAGCACUCAGUUUCAGGCUUAGGUCCAGACUUGGGUUUCUUCUCUUGAGCAGCAACUUGUUUGCUGUUCUUCUUGAAGUUCCCCUUCUUCUUCCCUUUGCCCUUUUUCUUGAAACUAGUGGUCUUGUUGACCAUCAACACUUGAUGCUCCUUCUUGAUUUCUACCUCCGCAGCCUUUAGCAUUGUGAAGAGCUCGGGAAUCGUCUUAUCCAUCCCUUGCAUAUUAUAGUUCAUCACGAAGCUCUUGUAGCUCGGUGGAAGUGAUUGGAGAAUUCUGUCAAUGACGCUAUCAUCCGGAAGUGUAACUCCUAGUUGAAUCAAGUGAUUACAAUACCCAGACAUCUUGAGUAUAUGCUCACUGACAGAACUAUUCUCCUCCAUCUUGCAGCUAUAGAACUUAUUGGAGACUUCGUAUCUCUCAAUCCGGGCAUUCUUCUAGAAUAUUAACUUCAACUCCUGGAACAUCUCAUAUGCUCCAUGACGUUCAAAACAUCGUUGAAGUCCCGGUUCUAAGCCGUAAAGCAUGGCACAUUGAACUAUCGAGUAGUCAUCAGCUUUGCUCUGCCAGACGUUCUUAAUGUCGUCAGUUGCAUCAGCAGCAGGCCUGGCACCCAGCGGUGCUUCCAGGACGUAAUUUUUCUGUGCAGCAAUGAGGAUAAUCCUCAAGUUAUGGACCCAGUCCGUGUAGUUGCUACCAUCAUCUUUCAACUUUGCUUUCUCAAGGAACGCAUUAAAAUUCAACGGAACAACAACACGGGCCAUCUAUCUACAAUCAACAUAGACAAGCAAGAUACUAUCAGGUACUAAGUUCAUGAUAAAUUUAAGUUCAAUUAAUCAUAUUACUUAAGAACUCCCACUUAGACAGACAUCUCUCUAGUCAUCUAAGUGAUCACGUGAUCCAAAUCAACUAAACCAUAAUCGAUCAUCACAUGAGAUGGAGUAGUUUUCAAUGGUGAACAUCUUAUGUUGAUCAUAUCUUGUCACGCCCAAUAUGCGACCCUAUCCAAAAGGAACUCGAAGGUCCCACCAAGGAUAGACCCGCAUAUUGAGAUGCUUUUGCAAGGUGGAUAUCAUUACAUCAACAAUUACAUAAUAGUGGGGAUACAUACAAAAGGCAUACAAUGCCACAUGAAUACAACAAUACAUCAUACAAGAACAACAUCCGACUACGGAUGAAUCAUAAACAGAAACUCAAACAAUAUCCACCCUGCUAGCCCAGGCUGCCGACCUGGAACCUAUCCCCUGAUCGAAGAAGCAGAAGAAAAACUCAACGCUAGCAAGCAUCGCUCUCGCGUCAUGAUCAUCGCAAACCUGUACCUGCAACUGUUGUUGUAGUAAUCUGUGAGCCACGAGGACUCAGCAAUCCCAUUACCAUGGGUAUCAAGACUAGCAAAGCUUAAUGGGAAAGGAAGGGGUAAAG
rnacentral:lncRNA from 1 species